GGGAAAAGGAGGCGGGACGAAGGCACGGCAGCAGAGGCUGAAAGUACAAUUUUCACUGAUUUACUAUAUCUACAUCCCUUUGGUGAUAUACCCCAAGGACAUAAUGUUUCAUGGCAGCGUAAUAAAGCUAGUGCUGAGCCUUCCUCCUCCACCUUAGAAGACUGCAGUGACCUCAUAAUUGAUGUAUUUUCCUCCUAUCAACAUCCACACCACUGAUGGAACCAUCAUCUCUAAACAUGUUCUCCUCUUUGGAUUCUUCCAUUGCUUCCUGACUGUUCCAAAACAACCCCCAGCUUCAAUCAAGGACAGUUUCUUUACAGUCUCUUUACAGUAGGGCAGUUUCUUUACAGUAGGCUAAGCUGAACCCUUCUUGGGAUCUAGUCAAUUUCCAACAUCCAAACUGACCUUUCAGUGUAUUCAGAUUAUAACUGUUUCCUGGAGCUCACCUCAGUUCCCACUCUUUCAUUCAUUUCAGGAGGCAAGAGGCACUUGGUUUGGAGAUUGGUUACAUGUUAAACAGAAUUCUUUACUUUUCUGAGCAUAUAAAUUGAAUUUACCCAAAGACUUACAAAUUCUACAAGUGAUGGGACCAUGCAGUAUACUUUUGUGUGUAUAUCCCAUGUCACAUACUACAUUGUUUAGCAUAUAAUCGCCUCAGAAAAUAUUGUUGAAUUGAUUGAAUUUAAGUAGUUAUCACAAAACUAAUCUGUUAAUUCAUUACCAGAACUACUAGGAUUCUGGUA